rnacentral:rRNA from 1 species
UACGUAGGUGGCGAGCGUUGUCCGGAUUUACUGGGCGUAAAGGGAGCGUAGGCGGACUUUUAAGUGAGAUGUGAAAUACCAGGGCUUAACUUGGGUGCUGCAUUUCAAACUGGAAGUCUAGAGUGCAGGAGAGGAGAAUGGAAUUCCUAGUGUAGCGGUGAAAUGCGUAGAGAUUAGGAAGAACACCAGUGGCGAAGGCGAUUCUCUGGACUGUAACUGACGCUGAGGCUCGAAAGCGUGGGGAGGCAAACAGGAUUAGAUACCCU